GACGAACGCUGGCGGCGUGCCUAAUACAUGCAAGUCGAACGCAGUGGGGGCGGGUUAUUAACACGUGGGUAACCUCCCAUCAGAGGGGAUAACACUUGGCAACAGGUGCUAAACCGAUACUGAUUGAUGUACCCGCGGGGCAUUAGCUAGUUGGUGGGGUAACGGCUCACCAAGGCGACGAUGCAGAGCCGAUCUGAGAGGGUGAUCGGCCACACUGGGACUGAGACACGGCCCAGACUCCUACGGGAGGCAGCAGUAGGGAAUAUUCGGCAAUGGACGAAAGCCUGACCGAGCAACGCCGCGUGAGUGAAGAAGGUUUUAGGAUCGUAAAACACUGUUGUUAGAGAAGCGGUAUCUAACCAGAAAGCCACGGCUAACUACGUGCCAGCAGCCGCGGUAAUUC
rnacentral:rRNA from 1 species